AACGAACGCUGGCGGCAGGCCUAACACAUGCAAGUCGAGCGAGGACUUCGGUCCUAGCGGCGGACGGGUGAGUAACGCGUGGGAACGUGCCCUUUGCUACGGAAUAGCCCUGGGAAACUGGGAGUAAUACCGUAUGUGCCCUUUGGGGGAAAGUGUUAUCGGCAAAGGAUCGGCCCGCGGUGGAUUAGGUAGUUGGUGGGGUAAUGGCCUACCAGGCCGACGAUCCAUAGCUGGGUUGAGAGGAUGAUCAGCCACACUGGGACUGAGACACGGCCCAGACUCCUACGGGAGGCAGCAGUGGGGAAUCUUAGACAAUGGGGGAAACCCUGAUCUAGCCAUGCCGCGUGAGCGAUGAAGGCCUUAGGGUUGUAAAGCUCUUUCAGUGGGGAAGAUAAUGACGGUACCCACAGAAGAAGCCCCGGCUAACUCCGUGCCAGCCGCCGCCGUAAGAC
rnacentral:rRNA from 1 species